AACGCGAAGAACCUUACCUGGACUCGAAAUCUAGUUGACCGCCUCAGAGAUGAGGUUUUCCCGCAAGGGACGGCUGGAUAGGUGCUGCAUGGCUGUCGUCAGCUCGUGUCGUGAGAUGUUGGGUUAAGUCCCGCAACGAGCGCAACCCUCAUCCUUAGUUGCUCGCCCGCAAGGGAAGCACCCUAAGGGAACCGCCUCGGAUAACGGGGAGGAAGGUGGGGAUGACGUCAAGUCCUCAUGGCCUUUAUGCCCAGGGCUACACACGUGCUACAAUGGCCGGUACAAACCGUCGCGAACCCGCGAGGGGGAGCCAAUCGGAAAAAACCGGUCUCAGUUCGGAUUGCAGGCUGCAACUCGCCUGCAUGAAGCUGGAAUCGCUAGUAAUCACGUAUCAGAACGACGUGGUGAAUACGUUCCCGGGCCUUGUACACACCGGCUAC
rnacentral:rRNA from 1 species